GGCUGGGGUGGGCCGGCGGGGUGGUGUUGAUAUGGCCAUAACCUUUAUGAAAUAUUAGUUCUUGAAAUAUUGUAGUUUUGUUUCAUUUUGAUUGUUAAUCUACAGAUUUUGUGUUUUUCUCUCAAAUCAUUCAACUUGGGGUGUAACAAAUCGCAACAAAAGAAGACAGAAAGUAAAUUGAUGUUUCCUGUUGUUUGUGGUUUCCAAUACUUUAAUUGAACUAGACCAUAUAGCAAUUCUAGGCUCAAAUUAAAUAAGUUUUUGUUUUGAUCAAGUCUCAUAUAAUGGAAUUCAUAACCUCCAUAACCAUUUAAUUAAGCGCCAAAAAUUCUUGGUUACUUCUUGGUCUAAAUAAUGUUGUCGUUGAUUCACCUAUGUUGUGUAGGCACGGAGGAAAGCAAAUGAA
rnacentral:misc_RNA from 1 species